rnacentral:rRNA from 1 species
UACGUAGGGGGCUAGCGUUGUCCGGAAUCAUUGGGCGUAAAGCGCGUGUAGGCGGCCCAGCAAGUCCGCUGUGAAAGCCCGAGGCUCAACCUCGGGAGGCGGGUGGAUACUGCUGGGCUCGAGUACGGAAGAGGCGAGUGGAAUUCCCGGUGUAGCGGUGAAAUGCGCAGAUAUCGGGAGGAACACCAAUGGCGAAGGCAGCUCGCUGGGACGUUACUGACGCUGAGACGCGAAAGCGUGGGGAGCAAACAGG